UACGUAGGGUGCAAGCGUUAAUCGGAAUUACUGGGCGUAAAGCGUGCGCAGGCGAUUGUGCAAGACCGAUGUGAAAUCCCCGGGCUUAACCUGGGAAUGGCAUUGGUGACUGCACGGCUAGAGUGUGUCAGAGGGGGGAGAAUUCCACGUGUAGCAGUGAAAUGCGUAGAGAUGUGGAGGAACACCGAUGGCGAAGGCAGCCCCCUGGGUCAAGAUUGACGCUCAUGCACGAAAGCGUGGGGAGCAAACAGG
rnacentral:rRNA from 1 species